UGGCGAUUGUGGGUUUAGUCCACG
rnacentral:miRNA from 1 species